CCUACGGCGGUGCAGCAGUGGGGAAUAUUGGACAAUGGGCGAAAGCCUGAUCCAGCCAUGCCGCGUGUGUGAAGAAGGCCUUCGGGUUGUAAAGCACUUUCAGUGGGGAAGAAAGCCUUGGGGCUAAUACCCUCGAGGAAGGACAUCACCCACAGAAGAAGCACCGGCUAACUCCGUGCCAGCAGCCGCGGUAAUACGGAGGGUGCGAGCGUUAAUCGGAAUUACUGGGCGUAAAGCGCGCGUAGGCGGUCUGAUAAGCCGGUUGUGAAAGCCCCGGGCUCAACCUGGGAACGGCAUCCGGAACUGUCAGGCUAGAGUGCAGGAGAGGAAGGUAGAAUUCCCGGUGUAGCGGUGAAAUGCGUAGAGAUCGGGAGGAAUACCAGUGGCGAAGGCGGCCUUCUGGACUGACACUGACGCUGAGGUGCGAAAGCGUGGGUAGCAAACAGGAUUAGAUACCCCAGUAGUC
rnacentral:rRNA from 1 species